rnacentral:lncRNA from 1 species
GUAGAAGAAUUGGUACUCACUCUCACCAGACUAUUCCCUUAAAGUGGGAGGUCAAGGGUUCGAGCAGUGGGGGAGGCGACCUAAUUCCCAGAGGAAGGAAUUGGGCCAAAUCCACUCGGGCUAGGGCGGGCCGUACUGGCUCCCCCGAGGGACAAAUCCUGCCCGGAACCCGUGAGGGUGAAGGGAUGUUAAGAGCUGCUCACAGUGGCCGCCCCCAGGAGGUGUAACGGGCUGUGAGCGGUAACAGGGCCGGUCGUACGGGGCCGGGCUGUUACA